rnacentral:rRNA from 1 species
UACGUAUGGGGCAAGCGUUAUCCGGAUUUACUGGGUGUAAAGGGAGCGUAGACGGCAAGGCAAGUCAGAAGUGAAAGGCUGGAGCUCAACUCCGGAACUGCUUUUGAAACUGUCUAGCUAGAGUGCAGGAGAGGUAAGCGGAAUUCCUAGUGUAGCGGUGAAAUGCGUAGAUAUUAGGAGGAACACCGGUGGCGAAGGCGGCUUACUGGACUGUAACUGACGUUGAGGCUCGAAAGCGUGGGGAGCAAAC